rnacentral:tRNA from 1 species
AAUAAAGCUUAGGAGUUAAGCGCUUCAUUUACACUGAAGAGAUUUCCGUGCGAUUCGGAUUGUUUUGAAAG